GGCCACAGCGAGAAGGAGGAGGAGAAGGAGGAGGAGGAGGAGGAGUGGGCUUCGGGACUCCCCUAAGGGUCACCUUUCCUAAUGAUAUGGUUAUUGUGAGCGCAUGCACACGACACAGCCCACUCCCUGCACUGAGCCUUGGCCAGAGUCACGCAGGAAAAGACGCAAACUAAGGUAGCAGCCCAGGCCGUUCUGCUAGUUACUGCCGGUGGAACCUCGAGAGCCUUCAGUGUGCGUGGACUUUGCUUGGAAAACGAAAGAUUGGGCAGGGACGAGACAAAGACAGUUUGCUUCCCUGAGAAGGGAGCAGGCCCCUAGGGAAGAGAGAGCUGCCCAGUUAGGAAAUCAGAUUCUUGUUACUUUGAAAGAGAGAGUGAGGCUGACAACUUUGUGCAAUUCUGCCUCACUUGACAUCACUGGUGAUAACAUUUUGGUCUUCUUCUUGAGUACAAAGCACAACCACCAACCAGUUAAGACAAAUGCUUCCAGUGGAUGAGCAAUAAUGUUGACUGAACGAUGACUG
rnacentral:lncRNA from 1 species